rnacentral:rRNA from 1 species
UAAGGCUAAAUACUCUCUAGUGACCGAUAGUGAACCAGUACCGUGAGGGAAAGGUGAAAAGCACCCCGGAAGGGGAGUGAAAUAGAACCUGAAACCGUGUGCUUACAAGUAGUCAGAGCCCGUUAAUGGGUGAUGGCGUGCCUUUUGUAGAAUGAACCGGCGAGUUACGAUUUGAUGCAAGGUUAAGCAGUAAAUGUGGAGCCGUAGCGAAAGCGAGUCUGAAUAGGGCGUUUAGUAUUUGGUCGUAGACCCGAAACCAGGUGAUCUACCCUUGGUCAGGUUGAAGUUCAGGUAACACUGAAUGGAGGACCGAACCGACUUACGUUGAAAAGUGAGCGGAUGAACUGAGGGUAGCGGAGAAAUUCCAAUCGAACCUGGAGAUAGCUGGUUCUCUCCGAAAUAGCUUUAGGGCUAGCCUCAAGUGAUGAUUAUUGGAGGUAGAGCACUGUUUGGACGAGGGGCCCCUCUCGGGUUACCGAAUUCAGACAAACUCCGAAUGCCAAUUAAUUUAACUUGGGAGUCAGAACAUGGGUGAUAAGGUCCGUGUUCGAAAGGGAAACAGCCCAGACCACCAGCUAAGGUCCCAAAAUAUAUGUUAAGUGGAAAAGGAUGUGGCGUUGCCCAGACAACUAGGAUGUUGGCUUAGAAGCAGCCAUCAUUUAAAGAGUGCGUAAUAGCUCACUAGUCGAGUGACACUGCGCCGAAAAUGUACCGGGGCUAAACAUAUUACCGAAGCUGUGGAUUGUCCUUUGGACAAUGGUAGGAGAGCGUUCUAAGGGCGUUGAAGCAUGAUCGUAAGGACAUGUGGAGCGCUUAGAAGUGAGAAUGCCGGUGUGAGUAGCGAAAGACGGGUGAGAAUCCCGUCCACCGAUUGACUAAGGUUUCCAGAGGAAGGCUCGUCCGCUCUGGGUUAGUCGGGUCCUAAGCUGAGGCCGACAGGCGUAGGCGAUGGAUAACAGGUUGAUAUUCCUGUACCACCUAUA